rnacentral:sRNA from 1 species
UGCACCUGCAGAGGGCGCAGCAUAACCCAUGAAAAGGUUUUGCAGGUAGCCGGUUAUGUAUCGCCCGGUAUAGCAAACUUGCUAUUUUAAAGCACUUC